UCAGGAGAUUUGCUUUAAUACCUUCAAAAUCAAACAACAGCAGAAAUUCGAAUAGCUAAGGUUAUCGACGAAGGCAGGGGCAGCGUCGCAGGCUUCCGGGUCGCGGCGACGAGAUGGUGUCGUGCCUGCCACCAUUGUCCUCAAGUGCUGUCCGUAGGCGGCAGACGAGCGCGUCGAGGCUGCGGCGACAAUCAAUUAGGGAGU
rnacentral:lncRNA from 1 species